rnacentral:rRNA from 1 species
CAAGUCGAGCGAAUGGAUUGAGAGCUUGCUCUCAAGAAGUUAGCGGCGGACGGGUGAGUAACACGUGGGUAACCUGCCCAUAAGACUGGGAUAACUCCGGGAAACCGGGGCUAAUACCGGAUAACAUUUUGAACUGCAUAGUUCGAAAUUGAAAGGCGGCUUCGGCUGUCACUUAUGGAUGGACCCGCGUCGCAUUAGCUAGUUGGUGAGGUAACGGCUCACCAAGGCAACGAUGCGUAGCCGACCUGAGAGGGUGAUCGGCCACACUGGGACUGAGACACGGCCCAGACUCCUACGGGAGGCAGCAGUAGGGAAUCUUCCGCAAUGGACGAAAGUCUGACGGAGCAACGCCGCGUGAGUGAUGAAGGCUUUCGGGUCGUAAAACUCUGUUGUUAGGGAAGAACAAGUGCUAUGU